rnacentral:rRNA from 1 species
AGAGUUUGAUCAUGGCUCAGAUUGAACGCUGGCGGAAUGCUUUACACAUGCAAGUCGAACGGCAGCACGGACUUCGGUCUGGUGGCGAGUGGCGAACGGGUGAGUAAUAUAUCGGAACGUAUCCAAUAAUGGGGGAUAACUAAUCGAAAGGUUGGCUAAUACCGCAUACGCCCUACGGGGGAAAGCUAGGGACCUUCGGGCCUGGCGUUAAUGGAGCGGCCGAUAUCUGAUUAGCUAGUUGGUGAGGUAAAGGCUCACCAAGGCGACGAUCAGUAGCUGGUCUGAGAGGACGACCAGCCACACUGGAACUGAGACACGGUCCAGACUCCUACGGGAGGCAGCAGUGGGGAAUUUUGGACAAUGGGCGAAAGCCUGAUCCAGCCAUUCCGCGUGAGUGAAGAAGGCCUUCGGGUUGUAAAGCUCUUUCGCAAGGGAAGAAAGAUUACUCUCUAACAUAGAGUAAUUAUGACGGUACCUUGAUAAGAAGCACCGGCUAACUACGUGCCAGCAGCCGCGGUAAUACGUAGGGUGCGAGCGUUAAUCGGAAUUACUGGGCGUAAAGCGUGCGCAGGCGGUUUUGUAAGUCAGAUGUGAAAUCCCCGAGCUCAACUUGGGAACUGCGUUUGAAACUACAAGACUAGAAUAUGUCAGAGGGGGGUAGAAUUCCACGUGUAGCAGUGAAAUGCGUAGAGAUGUGGAGGAAUACCAAUGGCGAAGGCAGCCCCCUGGGAUAAUAUUGACGCUCAUGCACGAAAGCGUGGGGAGCAAACAGGAUUAGAUACCCUGGUAGUCC